UCAAUUGAUGAUAUUUUUACUUGAUAAAAAUAGUUUAUAAGAGCAAAUUUACCUGGUAGAGGAUUAGCAUUGAAAUGUGUACAUAUUUCAGCCCAAAUGUUUUACAAUAUUGCCUUCUGCUUCCAUACAGAGUCCCUUUUUUUGACAGCUUUAUUGAGAUAUAAUUCACAUAAUACAUGAUUCAGCUUUUUAAAACAGUACAAUUCAAUAGCUUUAAGUAUAGUCACAGACUUGUGCAUCAUCAUCACGAUCAAUUCUAGAACAUUUUCAUUAUUCCAAAAAGAAACCCCACCAAUAUACCUUAUGCUGGUGGCACUAAUGUAUUUUCUCUGUCUAUAGAUUUACCUAUUGUGGACAUUUAAUAUCAAUGUAACCAUAUACUACAUUGUCCUUUGUGACUGGCUUCUUCCACUUAACAUGUGUUCUGGGUUCAUCCAUAUUACAGCAUGUAUCAGUACUUUACCCUUUUAAGUGCCAGAUAAUAACUUGGGGUAGUGAACACACAAUACAGUGUAGAGAUGAUGUGCUAUAGAAUUGUUCACCUGAAGCCUGUAUUAAUUUUGUUAAUCAAUGUUACUCAAAUAAAUUCAAUUGAAAAAAAAGUUUUUCAAUUUG